ensembl:lncRNA
AACUUACUUAUGGUUUUUAAAUUUCAGUGGAGCUGUGACAGGUAAACUUCAUGAGCAGAUAAGCAUCACAGUAGAAGUGAGAGACCUCUGGAAUCGAGGAGCAGAAGACACGUGGCUAGCCAAGAGCCUGGGGAUGAUAUUGGUGGUGAAGCAGAUGUCAUCAAAGGAAAUGUUGGUGAGGAAGAAGUACAUGGGGGUGUGUAAGCGCGGGUCAGAGCUGAUGGCCAUGAAGAUGAGUGUGUUACCAGCCACCGUGACCAAGUACAUGCACAGGAAAGCCCAGAAGAGGAUUCGUUGCUGUUGUGGGUCAUUGGUGAUGCCAAGCAGGAGAAACCCGCUGACUCCAGUCUCAUUCUCUCCCGCCAUGGACAUAUUCCAGCGUUUCAGGCUCCUGGAGGGAACGGGGUCCAGUGUUGCCCAGUGUGGCCCUGAAAUUUCUACAUAGCAAAAGAUGCACCCUGAAUUACUGAACUUUGCCUCCACCUCCUGGUACUGAUGUAGCAGCCAUCACUGAAUUUGAAUUCUUAAAGAGUACCUUUUAGUUUCAUUCAGGUUCAAAGUGAAAUGGAAGAAAUGAGAAGUUGUUGUUCAGUUGCCCACUCAGGCAUUGAGAAGACUGCACAUGCAGUGGGCUGUUUUGUCCUUGUCAGACCACCAGAUAAUCAGGACCAGAUCCUCUCCUUCUAUAAUACUGAUAUGUACCAGAAUGCUCUAAAGAUCCAAGGAGAGGAGGAUGGGCAGGCUGCAGCUCUGUGGAGUUCUUGCCCAGCGUUUAUGGGGUCCUCCUUUGAUGCUUAGCGGGAUGACUGAGGCUGUAGCUCGGUGGAGCACUAGCCUAGCAUCCAUGAGGUUCUGGCUUGACCUGUGCACAGCACAAGGCUGGAGUGGUGGUGAACACUUGUGAUUCCAGCACUCUGGAGGUGAAGGCAAGAGGGUCAGAAAUCCAAGGUCCUCUUCAAUCACAUAAUUUGAGACAAGCCUGGAGGUAUAUGACAACCUGUCUCAAAAAGUGCAUUCAUAUAUGCACAUACAAACAGGUAGAAAGGCAUACAGGAAAGAAGGAAGGAAGUUAGAGGAGCAAGAGAGAAGGAAGAAGGAAGAAUAAGAAAGACAAUGAAGAGACAAUUGAGAUGUAUCAAACAUUUUUAAGAGUCUCAAAGUGUGGGCUGGAGAGAUGGCUCAGUGGUUAAGAGCACCAACUGCUCUUCCCAAGGUCCUGAGUUCAAAUCUCAGCAACCACAUGGUGGCUCACAACCAUCUGUAAUGAGAUCUGAUGCCCUCUUCUGCUGUGUCUGAAGACAGCUACAGUG